rnacentral:rRNA from 1 species
UACGUAGGUGGCAAGCGUUGUCCGGAUUUACUGGGUGUAAAGCGAGCGCAGGUGGUUUAUUAAGUCUGGUGUAAAAGGCAGUGGCUCAACCAUUGUAUGCAUUGGAAACUGGUAGACUUGAGUGCAGGAGAGGAGAGUGGAAUUCCAUGUGUAGCGGUGAAAUGCGUAGAUAUAUGGAGGAACACCGGUGGCGAAAGCGGCCUGCUGGACUGCAACUGACGUUGAGGCCCGAAAGCGUGGGGAGCAAACAGG